UUGGUGUGCUCAGAGCAGCUUCUAGUGAGACCCCCCUCAGGCUGUUUAUACCACACCGCAGAGAAACUCUGUGCUAAUGCUUUCUGGAAGCAUCAAGGAUGGUGUCAUUCCUGUCAUUGCAAAUAGCAUACACAC
rnacentral:snoRNA from 1 species